rnacentral:rRNA from 1 species
GACGAACGCUGGCGGCGUGCUUAACACAUGCAAGUCGAACGGAAAGGCCCUGCUUGCAGGGUACUCGAGUGGCGAACGGGUGAGUAACACGUGGGUGAUCUGCCCUGCACUUCGGGAUAAGCCUGGGAAACUGGGUCUAAUACCGGAUAGGAGCCAUUUUUAGUGUGAUGGUUGGAAAGUUUUUUCGGUGUAGGAUGAGCUCGCGGCCUAUCAGCUUGUUGGUGGGGUAAUGGCCUACCAAGGCGGCGACGGGUAGCCGGCCUGAGAGGGUGGACGGCCACAUUGGGACUGAGAGACGGCGCAGAAUCCUACGGGAGGCAGCAGUGGGGAAUAUUGCACAAUGGGCGCAAGCCUGAUGCAGCGACGCCGCGUGGGGGAUGACGGCCUUCGGGUUGUAAACUCCUUUCGCUAGGGACGAAGCUUUUUGUGACGGUACCUAGAGAAGAAGCACCGGCUAACUACGUG